AGUUUACUGAAUUUUGGAAAGAUUCAGACAGGGACAUUGAUUCUGAAUUUCAGUUGGAGAAGUUUUGUUUCCAGAACAAGAAUGUAGUAUGUUCACGGUUGAAGUAUUGCACAAUGGAUUUUUUUUUGUGGAUUGAGACACAAUUUGGAAUAUAUGUGUGCAUCAACAGCCCAUUUUGACAA